AGACCCGCGGUCGCCGCCGCGUGGAGGUGACUGCUCUUGCGCAGCGCGGGAAUGCGAAGCUCGCGGGGCGUGUGACGCGGUUGGAAGUGCGUAAGGAUGACUCGGGCCUGUAGCAGCUGCGUCCGGAAAUAACCGGCCCGCAGGCUCUCGAGCCGGACGGGAUGUUCCCGGUGCUGACGUCACGCCGCGGCGCCAGUUGGCUGCAUCUAAGCGCUCUUUUGGAAUUUGAAUUUUUCGGGCGUAGUUUUAAGACAAGUUGUAGAAAAUGUUUUCAGUAGUAAAAAACCACAUCCUGUGUAUACAGGGAGUUCAGGAUUUAUGGUUAUGGACACUUUUUAUCCUUUUUAAAUAGUUUUAUUCAACACUUAGAACUAAUCUGGCCUCUUACAGGUUAUCCUUUUUGAUUUUACAUUUUUCCAAAUUUUCUACAGUGAGCAAUUAUUUCCUUUAUAAAGAGGGAAACCAGCAUGGUGUGUUUUGUUUCAGGGAGCGAGGCUGCUCUUAUGUCCUGCUACGAACCUAGGGAUGUUGCUCCAGGACCUCGCUUCAGAUGGUUGAAUAUACUGGAAAGGAGUAACCGAAAGAGGAAAAGCACAGAGGGACUUGAGAUGAAAAAACCCUUGAUUUUGAUCAGCAAUGGAUGCCUUUGAUCGAUGCUGGGUGCCUGUCAGUUCAAUUAAUUCAGAAGUUGAGGACUCAAAAUUAAUCAGGUAAAACUCUGGCUGAUAAAAAAUGUCUUAAGCCAGGAUGAGAAAUUUUAAACAUAGAAUUCUAUGUGUCACUCCUGGGCUUUCUCUCUCCCUCCCUAAUGAGCAGUGUGCAUUACAUAUUAACUGGAACCUCUCAAAGAUAAGAGUGCCUGCUCCAAAGUAGAGGGCUUUUCUUUUAACUUUCUUCUGAGCUAGCAACAUAACUUCUUAAAAGAAUAGUGCUCCUUCCCACCUCUGCAGGGGGUUGUGGUGACCUGCUCACCUGGGUUGAGUUUCUUCCAUUAACUUUAUGCAAAAUGUCAGUAAGUCAUUUUGAUUUAUGAUCCUUUGUCUUGAAAAUGUGGAAUGCAAAAGUAGGAAGUCAAGAGAUAACUGGAGUAACAGGCAAAUUUGGCCUUGGAGUACAGAAUGAAGCAGGGCAAAGGCUAAUAGUUUUGCCAAGAGAAUGCACUUGUCAUGGCAAACGCCCUUUAUCAACAACACAAGAGAUUACAUGUGGACAUCAACAGAUGGUCAACACCAAAAUCAGAUUGAUUAUAUACUUUGCAGCCAAAGAUAGAGAAGCUCUAUACAGUCAGCAAAAACAAGACUGGGAACUGACUGUGGCUCAGAUCACGAACUCCUUAUUGCCAAAUUCAGACUUGAAGAAAGUGGGUAAAACUACUGGACUAUUCAGGUAUGUCCUAAAUCAAAUCCUUUAUGAUUAUACAGUGGAAGUGAGAAAUAGAUUUAAGGGACUAGAUCUGAUGUAACAAGUGCCUGAUGAACUAUGGACAGAGGUUCAUGACACUGUACAGGAGACAGGGCUCAAGACCAUCCCCAAGAAAAAAAAUGAAAAAAAGCAAAAUGGCUGUCUGAGGAGGCCUUACAAAUAGCUGUGAAAAGAAGAGAAGCCAAAAAGCAAAGGAGAAAAGGAAAGAUAUACCCAUUUGAGUGCAGAGUUCCAAAGAAUAGCAAGGAGAGAUAAAGCCUUCCUCAAUGAUCAGUGCAAAGGAAUAGAGGAAAACAAUAGAAUGGGAAAGACUAGAGAUCUCUUCAAGAAAAUUAGAGAUACCAAGGGAACAUUUCAAGCAAAGAUGGGCUCAAAAAAGGACAGAAAUGGUGUGGACCUAACAGAAGCAGAAGAUAUUAAGAGGUGGCAAAAAUACACAGAAGAACUGUACAAAAAAGAUCUUCGUGACCCAGAUAAUCACAAUGGGGUGAUCACUCACCUAGAGCCAGACAUCCUGGACUGUGAAGUCAAGUGGGCCUUAGGAAGCAUCACUACAAAUGAAGCUAGUGGAGGUGAUGGAAUUCCAGUUGAGCUAUUUCAAAUCCUAAAAGAUGAUGCUGUGAAAGUGCUGCACUCAAUAUGCCAUCAAAUUUGGAAAACUCAGCAGUGGUCACAGGACUGGAAAAGAUCAGUUUUCAUUCCAAUCCCAAAGAAAGGCAAUGCCAAAGAAUGCUCAAACUACUGCACAAUUGCACUCAUCUCACAUGUUAGUAAAGUAAUGCUCAAAAUUCUCCAAGCCAGGCUUCAACAGUGCAUGAACCAUGAACAACCAGAUGUUCAAGCUGGUUUUAGAAAAGGCAGAGGAACCAGAAAUCAAUAUGCCAACAUCCGCUGGAUCACAGAAAAAGCGAGUUCCAGAAAAACAUCUACUGCUUUAUUGACUAUGUGAAUCACAACAAACUGUGGAUAAUUCUUCAAGAGAUGGGAAUACCAGACCACCUGACCUGCCUCUUAAGAAAUGUGUAUGCAGGUCAGGAAGCAACAGUUAGAGCUGGACAUGGAACAACAGACUAGUUCCAAAUAGGAAAAGGAGUACAUUAAGGCUGUAUAUUGUCACCCUGCUUAUUUAAUUUAUAUGCAGACUACAUCAUGAAAAACCCUGGGCUGGAUAAGGCACAAGCUGCAAUCAAGAUUGCUGGGAGAAAUAUCAAUAACCUCAGAUAUGCAGAUGACACCACCCUUAUGGCAGAAAGUAAAGAACUAAGGAGCCUCUUGAUGAAAGUCAAAGAGGAAAGUGAAAAAGUUGGCUUAAAGCUCAACAUUCAGAAAACUAAGAUCAUGGCGUCCGGUUCCAUCACUUCAUGGCAAAUAGAUAGGGAAACAGACUUUAUUUUCUUGGGCUCCAAAAUCACUGCAGAUGACUGCAGCCAUGAAAUUAAAAAAACACUCCUUGGAAGAAAAGUUAUGACUAACCUAGACAGCAUAUUAAAAAGCAGAGACAUUACUUUGCCAACAAAGGUCUGUCUAGUCAAGGCUAUGGUUUUUCCAGUAGUCAUGUAUGGAUGUGAGAGUUGGACUAUAAGGAAAGCUGAGUGCCAAAGAAUUGAUGGUUUUGAACUGUGGUGUUGGAGAAGACUCUUGAGAGUCCCUUGGACUGCAAAGAGUUCCAACCAGUCUGUCCUAAAGGAAAUCAGCCCUGAAUAUUCAUUGCAAGGACUGCUGUUGAAGCUGAAACUCCAAUACUUUGGCCACCUGAUGCAAAGAACUGACUCAUUUGAAAAGAUCCUGAUGCUGGAAAAGGAUUGAAGGCGGGAGGAGAAGGGGACGACAGAGAAUGAGAUGGUUGUAUGGCAUCACCGACUCAAUGGACAUGAAUUUGAGUAAACUCCGGGAGUUGGUGAUGGACAGGGAGGCCUGGUUUGCAGCAGUCCAUGGGGUCCGAAAGAGUCGGACAAGACUGAAUGAUUGAACUGAACUGAAUAGACAUCUAACAGGUGGGACAGUUCUCGGGGCUCCUGAGAAUCGGCUUCCCAGGUUACAAUCCUCAGUUUGGCUCGAAUAAAACUUCUUUUAUUCUUCUUAUGUUGAUUAUUGAAUUUUCAUCGACUGUUGUCUCACUGUUUCUUCGACUGCUGAGUUUUGUGAGGACUUUAGGUAUUCUGAUUGCAAGUUCUUUAAAACAUGUGAUUGGGGAACAUUUCCUCACAGUCUGUAGUUUGUAACUACAUUAUACUUACACAUUAUAGUUAUACAUUAUAACUCACCAGCAUCUUCCACUAAGGAGACAGUUUUUGAUUUUGAUAAAGUGCACCUUGUCAGUUCUUUUGUUUUCUGAAUCAUGCUUUUGCUGUGGCAUAAGAACUCAUGACCCCUGGUCACAAAGAUUUGUCUCACACUUUAUAUUUAGAUAUAUGACCCACUUUGAGUUCAUCUUUUCAGUAACUGGAAGGCUUAUGUCAGGAGCCUUUUUCGUUCAUCUGGAUAUCCAAUUGCUCCAGCACUACCCUUUCUCCAUUAAAUUGCCAGGGAACUUCAAAGGGCCUCCUUGACAGCACAGCCCUGGGUAGGUGUCAGGAUUAAGUAACAUGGUGUCACCUCAAGGAAGAUAGCCUGUAUACACAGAGGCUGUUUUGACUUCUUUUUUAACAUGGAUUUAGAUACAGCACUACUUAAACUUUGUUACAGAAAAAACUACAUACAUAAUAGGUUAAGACAGCUUAAAAAAAAAAAAUGUGGCACUCUAAUUUUAAAUUGAGGCAUAACUGACAUGUAAUAUGUUAGUCUGUGUAUAACAUAAUGAUUCCAUGUUUGUACACAUUACAAAAUGAUCACUAUGUCUAGUUAACAUUGGUUAUCAAUCAGUUACAAAAUUUUUUCUUGUAAUCAGAACUUUUAAGAUCUAUUCUCUUAGCGACUUUCA